UACGUAGGGUGCGAGCGUUGUCCGGAAUUAUUGGGCGUAAAGAGCUUGUCGGCGGUUUGUCGCGUCUGCUGUGAAAAUCCGGGGCUCAACCCCGGACUUGCAGUGGGUACGGGCAGACUAGAGUGUGGUAGGGGAGACUGGAAUUCCUGGUGUAGCGGUGAAAUGCGCAGAUAUCAGGAGGAACACCGAUGGCGAAGGCAGGUCUCUGGGCCACUACUGACGCUGAGAAGCGAAAGCGUGGGGAGCGAACAGG
rnacentral:rRNA from 1 species